CCAGAGAGGGUGAGAGCCCC
rnacentral:siRNA from 1 species